AGUGAACGCUGGCGGUAGGCCUAACACAUGCAAGUCGAACGGCAGCACAGUAAGAGCUUGCUCUUACGGGUGGCGAGUGGCGGACGGGUGAGGAAUACAUCGGAAUCUACUUUUUCGUGGGGGAUAACGUAGGGAAACUUACGCUAAUACCGCAUACGACCUACGGGUGAAAGCAGGGGAUCUUCGGACCUUGCGCGAUUGAAUGAGCCGAUGUCGGAUUAGCUAGUUGGCGGGGUAAAGGCCCACCACGGCGACGAUCCGUAGCUGGUCUGAGAGGAUGAGCCGCCACACUGGAACUGAAGCACGGACCAGACUUCUACUGGAUGCAGCAGUGGGGAAUAUUAGACAAUGGGCGCAAGCCUUAACCAGCCAUACCGCGUAGGUGAAGAAGGCCUUCGGGUUGUAAAGCCCUUUUGUUGGGAAAGAAAAGCAGCAGGUUAAUACCCCGCUGUUCUGACGGUACCCAAAGAAUAAGCACCGGCUAACUUCGUG
rnacentral:rRNA from 1 species